AAAAAAAAAAAAAAGGGGGGGGGGCAGGGGGAAGGGAAGGAAAAUCAAUUUCUGAAACAGCCCUCUGAUCUGAUGGAGUGAUGCAGGAGAUUCCAGUCUGGGAACACACAAACACCUGUGCAUGGAUUUCUUUCAAAAAAGAUUUGUAGUGAUAUCCCCUGGAUCAUUAAAUUUUUUUUACCAAUGAAUUAAAUUCACAGUUUAGCAAUAAAACAUUAGAUGUCUCAGUAUGGCUUCUUUUUGAAAAAUAUCUGCUUCCUUGCUAUUAAUUUCUUGUUAUUCUUACAGAAUUUUUCUCUGGAGGGUUAAUUAGUGUCUGCUCAAGUUCCUGAUGGGAGAUGCAAAAUAAAUGCUUUAUAGCACCAUAGGGGGAAAUGUUCAGAUUUUACGUGACUACAGAAAAGCAGCCCAAAAUAAGCUUGACCCUAUAAAUGGAUGGUGGCAAUAGCAUUAUGCUGUUUUCAUGCAGAAACUUUAUCUUUAGAACAAAAAUUGCUCUGACAGUGGGCAAUUGUCUACACUACUAUGGUUUUAUUCCUGGAGUGUUUGAAAUACUGGACAUAGAAACAUAAGACUGGAGACUGAUUGUUUAUAUUUCAAGCAAUGAUAUAACCUUUUAUGUCAACAGAGAGCUCUCAAGGUGUAUCAAAUCAAGGUAUAUCAGAAGACCCAAAAUAUGCAUAACUAAUAAUAAGGUUCUUUAAAUACAUUUCCAGUGUAGAAAGAUUUGAAUAAAUCCUGCCAUCUGUCCUCAAAUUAAUCUCAAAGAGCCCACUAGGCAGUUAAUCCUCCACCUUGAUCUUACUUACCUGUAGACUCCUAUGUAUAUUAAAAUUGAGAAGAUUAUAAAACUAACAUGGAUGCCAGCUUCAGCUCUAUGGAGAUAACACCCAGCUUUAUUUUCCCACUAUCUGCAGACAGCACCCUUAUCCAGCUCUGGGGGCUCUUCAGCAGGUUUAAUAUCUAAAUGAAAAUGACCUUUCUAAUUAAUGACUUAAUCCAGGCUAGGUGAAAGGAGUUACGGUGUGCCUAGGAAAUCCCUUUUGAAGGCUGUACCUCAGUAAUGUUCUCAUCAGGGAGAGACUGACUGAAUUUCACCAGAAUAUUCAGAAAGAGAAUUAUAAGGAAAAAAUCCAAGACAAUAACUCUCAAUAGUUAGGUGACUAGAUGCUCAAGAGAGAGAUUGCUUAGCACUCAUUUUGAGUUCUGCUUAAAUCAAAAUAGGGGUACAGUGUGGUUCUUUCAUAAAUCAGACAUGUUGUGUAGCAAUCAAGGUUUCUGGUAGUUUGAAAUUAUGUCCUAAGCUGUCUUUUUCUGCAGUUAGAUGUUAUCCAGA
ensembl:lncRNA